ensembl:miRNA gmo-mir-11187 gmo-mir-11187
CCGUCAUAACAGCCUUUGGAUCAGGAUGGUUGCCAUGACCAAGGUUUAGUUUUGACGUUG